AUACCGCCCUAGUUCUAACCCUAAACGAUGCUGACCAGCUAUUCGCCGUCGUUAUUCCCAUGACGUGGCGAGACGCCCCCGGGAAACCUCGAGUCUUUGAGUUCCGGGGGUAGUAUGGUUGCAAAACUGAAACUUAAAGGAAUUGACGGAAGGGCACCACCAGGAGUGGAGCCUGCGGCUUAAUUUGACUCAACACGGGAAACCUCACCAGGCCCGGACACCAGAAGGAUUGACAGAUUAAGAGCUCUUUCUCAAUUUGGUGGGUGGUGGUGCAUGGCCGUUCUUAGUUGGUGGAGUGAUUUGUCUGGUUAAUUCCGGUAACGAACGAGACUCUGGCCUACUAAYUAGUGGGCGGGUGUUCCGGUAAGGGGCCCCGCCCGACAAUGUCUUCUUAGAGGGAUGAGCAGCGAGUAUAGCUGCAGGAGAUUGAGCAAUAACAGGUCUGU
rnacentral:rRNA from 1 species